GUCUAUGGCCAUACCACCUUGAAUGUGCCUGAUCACGUCUAAUCUUGGAAGCUAAGCAGGGUUGGGCCUCGUUAGUACUUGGAUGGGAGAAACCAAUUUUGGCCAAAUUCCUGCCUGUUAUAGAUC
ensembl:rRNA 5S_rRNA 5S ribosomal RNA